UGCACUAGUGAAGAUGACAGGUAGCAUGAGCCAUCGAUGAUGAAAAUAAGUGUCUAAAACUCUGAGAUCCAA
ensembl:snoRNA